rnacentral:rRNA from 1 species
GGGUCAUUAGGUUGGUCGUGCCACCCGUUCGUACUGGUCUCACUGAUUCCUCCUUCCUGAAGAACCGUAAUGCCAUUAAUUUGGUGUUGCGGGGAAACAGGACUGUUACUUUGAAAAAAUUAGAGUGAUUAAAGCAAGCUAACGCUUGAAUACAUUAGCAUGGAAUAAUGAAAUAGGACGAUCGAUCCUAUUUUGUUGGUUUCUAGGAUUGACGUA